ensembl:lncRNA
CCCUGACAUUUCCAUUCCUCUUCUAACAACAGAACUUGACCAACUGCUCACCAAGCACAGCAAGGGCCGUACGGAGUGUUAUACUGUUCUGCUAUUCCAAGGAUGUGUAACCGAAGAGAUACCACGAGUGGACACCGAAUACCAACUGGGAUGGAUCCCGAGCAGGAAAACCAAAUAUCUCUGACAGUUGACAAGCAGGGAUACCUUCUACGUCAACACCAUGACCAGCUGGCACAACUGGGGAGUCGUUGCCUUCAACUACCUGAUGAUACAUCCAGCCGACCCAGUGAGCCAGCACAACAGCCCAUUCAGCAACCCGCUCAGGUCACUGAGGCACUCUUCCAGCAGGUCUUCCAGCAUUAUGGCCUUCCAGAGAACAUUGUCUCCUCAUCUCACAUCAAGGGUAUGGAAAGCCUUUAUGGAGAAGCUCGGGGUCACAGUCAGCCUCACUUCCGGGUACCAGCCUCAGUCCAUCGGGCAGGUGGAGAGGAUGAACCAGGAGCUGGGGAGGUUCCUGAGGAGUCACUGUCAGGACUGGCAGGGAGAGUGGGUACGAUUCCUUCCAAUGGCAGAGUACGCCCAGAACUCGCUACCUCACUCCUUCACUGGGUUGACCCCCUUCCAGUAGGUUCUCAGACGGCCCUGGCUCCGUGGACCCCGGGCCAGAGCAAAGCCCCUACGGUUGAUGAGUGGUUCUGGCGUGCAGAAGUGUGGAGCGAUGUUCACAUGAGACUCCAGCAUGCAGUCCACCGUCAAAAGGAGCAGGCGACCCCUGUGUUCCACCCUGGAGAUUGUCUGGCUUUCUACCAUGAACCUCCUACUCUGCCUGCCCUGCAAGAAACUGAGCCCCCUGUUUGUGGGGCCAUUCAAGGCUCUCUGGAGGGUCAACGAGGCGAAGUAUAGGUUACAGCUUCCCAGUGACUACCGUAUCUCACCUUCUUUUCAUGUCUCCCUUCUCAGGCUGGUGGUUCCUGAUCCCCUAGCCGAUGCUGUCCCCCACAACACACACCCCCCUGGACAUCGAGGGGAAUCCGGUAUAUGCCGUCUGAUCCCUACUGGACCCCCGACGUCGUGGGGGUCGACUCCAGUACCUGGUUGACUGAGAGGGGUAUGGCCCAGAAGAGCGGUGUUGGGUUCCGGUGGAGGACCUUUGCCGCCCGAACUGGCUUCUCGGGGUCGUCCCUCUGGUUGGUGUUGUCCUGUGGCUUUCGACGUCGCCAGUAUACUAACGGCGGCAGGAUAGGCAGGGUAGCCUAGUGGUUAGAGUGGUUGGAGCGUUGGACUAGUAACCGGAAGGUUGCAAGUUCAAACCCCCGAGCUGACAAGGUACAAAUCUGUCGUUCUGCCCCUGAACAGGCAGUUAACCCACUGUUCCUAGGCCAUCUUUGAAAAUAAGUAUUUGUUCUUAACUGACAUGCCUGGUUAAAUAAAGGUAAAAUAAAUAAAAAACCACCGGUCCUGGGAUCCAUCAUUACGCACACCUGGCAUCCAUCAUUACGCGCACCUGCAGAUCAUCAUGAUACUCACCUGGACUCCAUUACCUUCCUGGUUACCUCCCCUAUAUCUGUCACUACCUUGGGUCCUUCCUCAGUCAUUAUUGUUUCUGUGUUCAUGCGGAAAUGCCACUGUUAUGUUGUCUCAUUUCAUGUUUGUUGUUUUAAUAAACGUUUCACCUGC